rnacentral:tRNA from 1 species
CAAGAAGUAGUUUAAUUAGAACGUCGGCUUUGGGGGCCGGGGGUGCAAAUUUUUGUUUGUCUUUUUGA